ACUCCUACGGGAGGCAGCAGUGAGGAAUAUUGGUCAAUGGAGGGAACUCUGAACCAGCCAUCCCGCGUGUAGGAAGACGGCCUUAUGGGUUGUAAACUACUUUUAUACAGGAAGAAACGUACCCUCGUGAGGGUGCCUGACGGUACUGUAGGAAUAAGCACCGGCUAACUCCGUGCCAGCAGCCGCGGUAAUACGGAGGGUGCGAGCGUUAAUCGGAAUUACUGGGCGUAAAGCGCAUGCAGGUGGUUUGUUAAGUCAGAUGUGAAAGCCCGGGGCUCAACCUCGGAAUUGCAUUUGAAACUGGCAGACUAGAGUACUGUAGAGGGGGUAGGAAUUUCAUGUGUAGCGGUGAAAGUGCAGUAGAGAUCUGAAGGAAUACCGGUGGCGAAGGCGGGCCCCCUGGAGCACAUACUGACAUCAGAUGCGAAAGCCGUGGGGGAGC
rnacentral:rRNA from 1 species